rnacentral:rRNA from 1 species
AUACGGAGGAUGCAAGCGUUAUCUGGAUUUAUUGGGUUUAAAGGGUGCGCAGGCGGCCAUUUAAGUCAGCGGUUAAAUCGUGGGGCUCAACCCCAUUCUGCCGUUGAUACUGGGUGGCUUGAUUGCGGUCGAGGUUGGCGGAAUUCGUUGUGUAGCGGUGAAAUGCAUAGAUAUGACGAAGAACACCGAUUGCGUAGGCAGCUGACCAGAUCGCAAAUGACGCUCAUGCACGAAAGUGCGGGGAUCGAACAGGAUUAGAUACCCUGGUAGUCCGCACAGUAAACGAUGAAUACUUGUUUUCGGCGAUAUAAUGUCGGAGGCAAAGCGAAAGCGAUAAGUAUUCCACCUGGGGAGUACGCCGGCAACGGUGAAACUCAAAUGAAUUGACGGGG